rnacentral:rRNA from 1 species
GAAGAACGGCCGUUUGGUUAAUACCCCUGCGGAUUGACGGUACCUGGAUAGGAAGCACCGGCUAACUCCGUGCCAGCAGCCGCGGUAAUACGGAGGGUGCGAGCGUUAAUCGGAAUUACUGGGCGUAAAGGGCGCGUAGGCGGCCGAUCAAGUCAGAUGUGAAAGCCCACGGCUUAACCGUGUGAAGUGCAUCUGAAACUGGUCGGCUUGAGUAUCGGAGAGGAAAGUGGAAUUCCCGGUGUAGAGGUGAAAUUCGUAGAUAUCGGGAGGAAUACCGGUGGCGAAGGCGACUUUCUGGACGAAUACUGACGCUGAGGCGCGAAAGCGUGGGGAGCAAACAGGAUUAGAUACCCUGGUAGUCCACAGCUGUAAACGAUGUGCACUAGAUGUGGGGAAGUGUUGACCUUUCCUGUGUCGCAGCUAACGCAUUAAGUGCACCGGCUGGGGAGUACGGCCGCAAGGUUUAAACUCAAA